CAGAUUGUAGCUUAUAUAAAGUAUAUUUUUUACGUUAAUAUGAAAAUUUUAGUUGUUCUAUCUGA
rnacentral:tRNA from 1 species